UACGAAGGGGGCUAGCGUUGUUCGGAUUUACUGGGCGUAAAGCGCACGUAGGCGGAUCGAUCAGUCAGGGGUGAAAUCCCAGAGCUCAACUCUGGAACUGCCUUUGAUACUGUCGAUCUGGAGUAUGGAAGAGGUGAGUGGAAUUCCGAGUGUAGAGGUGAAAUUCGUAGAUAUUCGGAGGAACACCAGUGGCGAAGGCGGCUCACUGGUCCAUUACUGACGCUGAGGAGCGAAAGCGUGGGUAGCAAACAGG
rnacentral:rRNA from 1 species